rnacentral:rRNA from 1 species
GACGAACGCUGGCGGCGUGCUUAACACAUGCAAGUCGAACGGAAAGGCCCUGCUUUUGUGGGGUGCUCGAGUGGCGAACGGGUGAGUAACAAGUGAGUAACCUGCCCUUGACUUUGGGAUAACUUCAGGAAACUGGGGCUAAUACCGGAUAGGAGCUCCUGCUGCAUGGUGGGGGUUGGAAAGUUUCGGCGGUUGGGGAUGGACUCGCGGCUUAUCAGCUUGUUGGUGGGGUAGUGGCUUACCAAGGCUUUGACGGGUAGCCGGCCUGGGAGGGUGACCGGCCACAUUGGGACUGAGAUACGGCCCAGACUCCUACGGGAGGCAGCAGUGGGGAAUAUUGCACAAUGGGCGGAAGCCUGAUGCAGCAACGCCGCGUGCGGGAUGACGGCCUUCGGGUUGUAAACCGCUUUCGCCUGUGACGAAGCGUGAGUGACGGUAAUGGGUAAAGAAGCACCGGCUAACUACGUG